rnacentral:antisense_RNA from 1 species
CUUUAUAGCGGGCCGUGCGGGCAACCUUCGGGUUGGCCGGUUUUCUCUUUUUGCCCGGUAUUCCUACCCCGUACAGUCCGCUCCCUUU